UACGUAGGGUGCAAGCGUUAAUCGGAAUUACUGGGCGUAAAGCGUGCGCAGGCGGCUAUGUAAGACAGAUGUGAAAUGCCCGGGCUUAACCUGGGAACUGCAUUUGUGACUGCAUGGCUAGAGUUUGGCAGAGGGGGGUAGAAUUCCACGUGUAGCAGUGAAAUGCGUAGAUAUGUGGAGGAACACCGAUGGCGAAGGCAGCCCCCUGGGUCAAGACUGACGCUCAUGCACGAAAGCGUGGGGAGCAACAGG
rnacentral:rRNA from 1 species